UACGUAGGGCGCAAGCGUUGUCCGGAAUUAUUGGGCGUAAAGAGCUCGUAGGCGGUGUGUCGCGUCGGUCGUGAAAACUUGGGGCUUAACCCUGAGCUUGCGGUCGAUACGGGCAUCACUGGAGUUCGGCAGGGGAGACUGGAAUUCCUGGUGUAGCGGUGAAAUGCGCAGAUAUCAGGAGGAACACCGGUGGCGAAGGCGGGUCUCUGGGCCGAUACUGGCGCUGAGGAGCGAAAGCGUGGGAGCGAACAGG
rnacentral:rRNA from 1 species